rnacentral:rRNA from 1 species
CAGAGUUUGAUCCUGGCUCAGGACGAACGCUGGCGGCGUGCUUAACACAUGCAAGUCGAGCGGUAAGGCCCUUCGGGGUACACGAGCGGCGAACGGGUGAGUAACACGUGAGCAACCUGCCCCCGACUCCGGGAUAAGCGGUGGAAACGCCGUCUAAUACCGGAUACGACCGGCCACCUCAUGGUGGCCGGUGGAAAGUUCUUCGGUUGGGGAUGGGCUCGCGGCCUAUCAGCUUGUUGGUGGGGUAAAGGCCUACCAAGGCGAUUACGGGUAGCCGGCCUGAGAGGGCGACCGGCCACACUGGGACUGAGACACGGCCCAGACUCCUGCGGGAGGCAGCAGUGGGGAAUAUUGCGCAAUGGGCGAAAGCCUGACGCAGCGACGCCGCGUGGGGGAUGACGGCCUUCGGGUUGUAAACCUCUUUUACCACCAACGCAGGCUCCCAGUUCUCUGGGGGUUGACGGUAGGUGGGGAAUAAGGACCGGCUAACUACGUGCCAGCAGCCGCGGUAAUACGUAGGGUCCGAGCGUUGUCCGGAAUUAUUGGGCGUAAAGAGCUCGUAGGCGGCGUGUCGCGUCUGCUGUGAAAGACCGGGGCUUAACUCCGGUUCUGCAGUGGAUACGGGCAUGCUAGAGGUAGGUAGGGGAGACUGGAAUCCCUGGUGUAGCGGUGAAAUGCGCAGAUAUCAGGAGGAACACCGGUGGCGAAGGCGGGUCUCUGGGCCUUACCUGACGCUGAGGAGCGAAAGCAUGGGGAGCGAACAGGAUUAGAUACCCUGGUAGUCCAUGCCGUAAACGUUGGGCGCUAGGUGUGGGGACUUUCCACGGUUUCCGCGCCGUAGCUAACGCAUUAAGCGCCCCGCCUGGGGAGUACGGCCGCAAGGCUAAAACUCAAAGGAAUUGACGGGGGCCCGCACAAGCGGCGGAGCAUGUUGCUUAAUUCGACGCAACGCGAAGAACCUUACCAAGGUUUGACAU